GACGAACGCUGGCGGCGUGCUUAACACAUGCAAGUCGAACGGAAAGGCCCUGCUUUUGUGGGGUGCUCGAGUGGCGAACGGGUGAGUAACACGUGAGUAACCUGCCCUUGACUUUGGGAUAACUUCAGGAAACUGGGGCUAAUACCGGAUAGGAGCUCCUGCUGCAUGGUGUGGGUUGGAAAGUUUCGGCGGUUGGGGAUGGACUCGCGGCUUAUCAGCUUGUUGGUGGGGUAGUGGCUUACCAAGGCUUUGACGGGUAGCCGGCCUGAGAGGGUGACCGGCCACAUUGGGACUGAGAUACGGACCAGACUCCUACGGGAGGCAGCAGUGGGGAAUAUUGCACAAUGGGCGGAAGCCUGAUGCAGCAACGCCGCGUGCGGGAUGACGGCCUUCGGGUUGUAAACCGCUUUCGACUGUGACGAAGCGUGAGUGACGGUAAUGGGUAAAGAAGCACCGGCUAACUACGUG
rnacentral:rRNA from 1 species